UACGUAGGGUGCGAGCGUUGUCCGGAAUUAUUGGGCGUAAAGAGCUCGUAGGCGGUCUGUCGCGUCGGAUGUGAAAGCCCGGGGCUUAACUCCGGGUCUGCAUUCGAUACGGGCAGACUAGAGUGUGGUAGGGGAGAUCGGAAUUCCUGGUGUAGCGGUGAAAUGCGCAGAUAUCAGGAGGAACACCGGUGGCGAAGGCGGAUCUCUGGGCCAUUACUGACGCUCAGGCACGAAAGCGUGGGGAGCAAACAGG
rnacentral:rRNA from 1 species